UCUGGUGGCUGCCAAUCCCUGGCACGCUCAGGCAAUGCUCCACUCCUGCCCCUGGAGCUCCCACCCUGCCCCAGAACGGGCAGCAAGUCCCACCCCAGGGAAUGGCCAGGAAAGCCAAAGGACACUGAAGCUGAGGCAUGAGGCAAGCACCAGUGUUGGCCCUACCUUCUCUUGAAGCUUCUCUGAGCUGAACACUGCUGGAACUAGGAGUGAGAAAUGAAAUACGAAUACAUCUUUGCCAGAAACAAAGGAACCUAUCCCACAAAGAAAUGACAGUGUUCUGUCCCUCUCCAAGAGGACUGGGAGCAGCUCCAGACUGAGAGAGACCCAGACACCAAGCUUUCCCCAGCAUGGAUUUCUUUGUUACAGUGAUGUGUACCCAGGCCAGUGGACUGCACAGGCUCUUCUGCACAGCAAAUAACUGUGCUGGGAGAAUCAUUCAUUUUCCACUCAACCCUUCCACUGUGAAGGCCAUUUUUCAGCAGCUUGGCAGAAGGGUGGCACCUGCCUAUUUUUUAAUUUGGCUUGAAACUAUGAAGAAGAUUUAUUCUGAGAACUAUUUCUCAGAAUACCUGCAUUUUUGGACAGGAAAUACCUAGAAGCUGCUAGACUCACCUGCCCCCCAUUUCAGCACCCCCACAUGGUGGGACGCCAGCGUGGGCUGUGACCUUUUGCACGUGAUCCCUGUUCUAGGAAUUUAUUUGGUUUUUAAAUGGGUUUGAAAUGAAAUUAAAGGGUAACACCCUUUCAUGGAAACAUACAAAGGCCCAGGAGAAUGAUGCUACAUGAACUAACCUCCAGAUUUUUUUGUUUGUAGGCACAUUCUGCCUGGUACCCUUAUGUGGCAACUGUGAUCAGAAAUCACCUUGAGUCAGAGCAUGCCUUUGUUUCUUAAUUGCUACUUCUCUUUGUCUCUGGAGCUAACAGUUUUUAAAUGUUGAGGAGCAGCAUUUACUGACACUGUUCAUUUUGGUGCUGGCCCUAGCCCCAAGGCAGGCCAGUGGAGGUGUGCUGGGAUGAGAGCUGAAAUGUACCUUACAAUGCUGACAAUAGAUGUUUUUCUUUGCCUAAGUUUGGACCUUGUGUAAAGCAAAGCAAUA